GGAUCGGCGCCCCUCGCCGGCCCGCGGGCACGGAUUGAUUACUGCCCUCCCCAGCCGGCCUGCAGGAACCUGAACCCUGAGACAGCCGCAGCGCGGUGACCUUUGGGGGUGGCGCGCAAGGAGUCCAGUGACUUCAUGCUGUCACCUCCCGCAGGCCAGAGAUGCUGCCCUUGAGGACAGGCAGCAGCCCUGAUGACUGUGGCCAGGGCCCAGAGGCUGGGAGCUAAGGAGAAGGUAGAUGUGGCUCCCAGGACCCACCCUGGAGCGCCCGCCUCCCCUGGUGGGAAAGCCCAGUCUCCACCUGGGGCAUGUCCAUCCCUGAGCCCCAGAGGCUCAUGGGAAAUCCUGAAAGCAAAGCCCAGGGUUCUUCAAUGCCCUCAUGUAGCCCCUGCUCCACUUGGCGGGCUUUGGGGCCAGGGGCUCUCCAGGCCUCCUCCCUGCCCUAGUGGAGAAAAAAAUACACUAGCUGAGGACUGGCGUUGUAGCUCAGUUGGUGGAUCAUUUGCCUGGCUUGUGUCAGGCACUGGGUCCGAUCCUCAGCACCACAUAAAAAUGAAUAAAUUAACUAAAGGUA